AGUGAACGCUGGCGGUAGGCCUAACACAUGCAAGUCGAACGGCAGCACAGGAGAGCUUGCUCUCUGGGUGGCGAGUGGCGGACGGGUGAGGAAUACAUCGGAAUCUACUCUGUCGUGGGGGAUAACGUAGGGAAACUUACGCUAAUACCGCAUACGACCUACGGGUGAAAGCAGGGGACCUUCGGGCCUUGCGCGAUUGAAUGAGCCGAUGUCGGAUUAGCUAGCUGGCGGGGUAAAGGCCCACCAAGGCGACGAUCCGUAGCUGGUCUGAGGGGAUGAUCAGCCACACUGGAACUGAGACACGGUCCAGACUCCUACGGGAGGCAGCAGUGGGGAAUAUUGGACAAUGGGCGCAAGCCUGAUCCAGCCAUACCGCGUGGGUGAAGAAGGCCUUCGGGUUGUAAAGCCCUUUUGUUGGGAAAGAAAUCCAGCUGGCUAAUACCCGGUUGGGAUGACGGUACCCAAAGAAUAAGCACCGGCUAACUUCGUGCCAGCAGCCGCAGUAA
rnacentral:rRNA from 1 species